GAUGAGCGCUGGCGGCGUGCUUAACACAUGCAAGUCGAGCGAGAAGUUUUGAAAAGAUUCUUCGGAUGAAAUUUAAAAUGGAAAGCGGCGGACGGGUGAGUAACGCGUAGGCAACCUGCCCCAUACAAAGGGAUAGCAUUUGGAAACGAAUAUUAAUACCUUAUGAAACUUAACUAGUGCAUGCUAGGUAGGUCAAAGAUUUAUCGGUAUGGGAUGGGCCUGCGUCUGAUUAGCUAGUUGGUGAGGUAACGGCUCACCAAGGCGACGAUCAGUAGCCGACCUGAGAGGGUGAACGGCCACAUUGGAACUGAGACACGGUCCAAACUCCUACGGGAGGCAGCAGUGGGGAAUAUUGCACAAUGGGGGAAACCCUGAUGCAGCAACGCCGCGUGAACGAUGAAGGCCUUUGGGUCGUAAAGUUCUGUUCUAGGUGAUGAAAACUGACAGUAACCUAGGAGAAAGCCCCGGCUAACUCCGUG
rnacentral:rRNA from 1 species